CCUACGGGCGGCAGCAGUGAGGAAUAUUGGUCAAUGGGCGAGAUCCUGACCCAGCCAAGUCGCGUGAGGGAGUACUGCCCUAUGGGUUGUAAACCUCUUUUGUCGGGGAGCAAAAGCCGGACGUGUCCGGCUGUGAGAGUACCCGAAGAAAAAGCAUCGGCAAACUCCGUGCCAGCAGCCGCGGUAAUACGGAGGAUGCGAGCGUUAUCCGGAUUUAUUGGGGUUAAAGGGUGCGCAGGCGGAUUUUUAAGUCAGCGGUCAAAUCGUGGGGCUCAACCCCAUCCAGCCGUUGAAACUGGGGAUCUAGAGUGUGCGAGAGGUAUGCGGAAUGCGUGGUGUAGCGGUGAAAUGCAUAGAUAUCACGCAGAACCCCGAUUGCGAAGGCAGCAUACCGGUGCACAACUGACGCUCAGGCACGAAAGCGUGGGUAUCGAACAGGAUUAGAUACCCCUGUAGUC
rnacentral:rRNA from 1 species